ensembl:lncRNA
AAAACACUCUGGGCCUAUGAUGCUUUGAGGAUACUUAGUUUGUAUUAUAUCUCAAAUAGCAGCCAACCUGUCCUUCUCAAAGGACCAAAAUAAUUAUGCAAUACCCUGAAACUUGGAAGAACUGCACAAGAAAAUGAGGAAGGGAAUAAAUAUGCUCAAAAUAGAGUGACCUUCAGCUUCAUCUUUGCUGCACCUCCAGUGGUAAUAAGCAUGUCAAAGAAAAAAUGAAGAUAAUUCCACUUUCCCCAGGAACUUAGUCUGCCCAUUAAUUGAGUUGCAUUUCUUUAAGCUCAUGGUUUACUUCUGGGAAAGAAAUCUCUAAUUCAGCAUAGCAGUUGCCCUGUUCAGCUUGGAAGUCAGUGGUUCAUGAAGACCGUGCCUGUCUAGCCAGUCGGGUUUUGGGAUUCUCAUGCUGGGACACAUGUCGGACUCUGCAGAUGGCAUAGAGCUAAUGUAUGCUGCAGAUUCACACCCGGUAGCAAUUGCUUCUGAAACCACUGCCUCUUAGCUCCCUAUACCACAAAUAAAAUUACUUAUUCUGCACAAGCAAAAAACUUUCUGCUUGGUUUCUUGUUGGAAACAGAAAUCUUCCCUUUAUCUAGCAAAGAAAAGGCGCACCUUUGUGUUCAUUCCAUGUGUGUGAAGAGCCUUCUCAAGUGUAUAUAAUUCACCCAGCAUCUCUUCAGGCAUCAGUCUCUCAUCCUACUGAGAAAGGAAUGUUACAAAGCCAUCUGUAAGAGGAGCAGAAUUACAUGAACCCGAAUAAACGACUGCCUUAACUACUCCAAAACCCACAAUCAGGGUACCUGAUAAUCAUUCAGAAAAGAAGCAGACUUGUGAUCCCAGCUUUUUUAACUGACACCAUCUGCCUCUUAGUCUCUUUCUCCUGCUGACACCAACAGGUUUUCACCUUCUGGUUCACGAACACCUUGCCAGAAUAAUUUCCAUCCCUGGCUGGAACCAGGCUGCCUUUUUCCUCACUCUGUCGUGCCUCAGGCAGAGCUUUCCCUGGAGCAGUGCUGGAAGACAGGAGGUCCUCCUCUGUCCUGGAGUGGCUGUGAACAUCUCUGGCACUGCUGUGUCAUGCACCUUUGUUUCUGGAGAGCAGAGUGGAAGGGUGGGUGAAGCAGGAAUGUGGAUCUGCCCACUGCUCAUAAGUACCUACCUGCAGACUUAGCACCAGCGAGGCACCUCCCCUCACACAGGGGAGCAGUGGGAAACCUGGCUCUUAAUAAAAGAAGGCUUUCAAAAGGCUGGCAGAGUGAACAAUGUCAGGCUUGAAACUUAAACGUUGCACUGGUUAUUUGGUGUUCCUACGGUGAAAGACCACAUUCCACAUACAAGAUGUAAAAGAUUAUUUUUCUUCAAAUUUGGGCACAUCUGUGGCCAUCAUAUUUCACUGAUAAGAGCCAGGCAAAAGGAAAACAGAUUGUCUCACACAGUGCUGUCUCGGUGUACCUUCUCCUUCUAUGUACCAGUUAUCUGAACCUGUCCUCUGUUGUCUCAUGAGCUGUUGAUGAUUACAUCUAAUACAUUAUCUUUUAAACCCAGCAUGAAGCUAAUUACUGCCACCUAUAUCUCCAGGCACCUUGACUGCAGCUCUGAUUAUUCUUAGCUUUAUAUCAAGAAACCCCACUGACCCCUUACUGUAUGAAUUCCUCAUUUAUAGAUUUUUCUGUGCUGUGCAUGUAUUUCAGGCACAUCUUUACAGAAGGAAAUGCAGUCAAGGCCAGUUGUUUGCUGUAAGCAGAAACCUCCAUUUCUUGCUUUCCCUAAAUGCUUUCUAAUAAAAUUUGUGUUGGAACAUUGUUCUAAGAGCAUCCCUAUAAGGAAUAAUUCCAGUGACCUCAGCAAAUUACCUGUGAAUGAAUCUCACAUCAGCAAGGAAAGGGCAUUUUCUGCCUCUUUUUGGAGGUUUAGUUUUGCUGCCAGGGAGAAGGCUUUGACCUUCCCCUUUUGGGUACCAUACUUAUUAUUUGUUCAGCAUUCCUUCACAAAACUUCAGAAGUGCAAAAUAUGCCUUUCUUCACAUAGUGAUGACAAGCUGUCAGUAAUGAAGGGCACGUUGUUCUGCCCUACAGUCCCAUGGAGGACAGUGCACCCACACCAUGGCAGUUUAGGGAUUAGGGGAACACCGGAGUUCUUUGCUUGAAUUUAUAAAGUUUGGCAGGGACAGUUCUCCAGGACUUCCUUGAAAGAGUGAAAAAAUAAAAUACUCUUUAAACCAGAAACCCUCUCUUUGUCCUUGUUUCUCUAAUUAGACUAGGGGCAGUCCUUAAUACCAUGAGCCUCAGGUGAAGACAAGCAAAAUGCAAGUUUGUGUGAACUGAGACCAAAUGUAAUAGAAGAUGUUUUGACUGGAUUGGCUUACAAUGUAUCAGUAAGGAUGAUAUUUUCACGUUUGUGGGGUCUGGUGUACUUCACCCUACACCAUUUAAGAUCCUGUCUAAUUGUAUUUGUAUUAACCAC